rnacentral:rRNA from 1 species
UACGUAGGGUCCGAGCGUUGUCCGGAAUUACUGGGCGUAAAGAGCUCGUAGGUGGUUUGUCGCGUUGUUCGUGAAAACUCACAGCUCAACUGUGGGCGUGCGGGCGAUACGGGCAGACUAGAGUACUGCAGGGGAGACUGGAAUUCCUGGUGUAGCGGUGGAAUGCGCAGAUAUCAGGAGGAACACCGGUGGCGAAGGCGGGUCUCUGGGCCGAUAUUGACGCUGAGGAGCGAAAGCGUGGGGAGCAAACAGG